rnacentral:misc_RNA from 1 species
UUUCCGUAGGUGAACCUGCGGAAGGAUCAUUAACGAGUUAGGGUCUUCCAGGCCCGACCUCCCAACCCUAUGUUUAUUGAACCUCUGUUGCUUCGGCGGACCCGUCUCACGACCGCCGGAGGACCGCCGCGAGGCGUCCUCUGGCCAGCGUCCGCCGAUGGCCAACCACUAAACUCUGAAUGAAUCGUGUCAUUAUGUCUAAGUCUAUGAUUAAAUUAAAGCAAAACUUUCAACAACGGAUCUCUUGGUUCUG